rnacentral:lncRNA from 1 species
AUCAACUAAUUCAAUCGUCAUUAUUAUUAUUUUUGUGAUUAGGGUCUCUCAACCAUGUUCGACAAAGUUUUAACUUAAUUAAUUUACCCUCGCAGGGUAAAAAUAUUGAUGUACCCACAAAAUAUCUUAACUUCAGCAAUUUAAUGUUAUUCAAAAUUAAAUAUUUUUAAAUAAUUUAUGAGUACUAUUUGAUUAAUACAAAAUACAUUUUAUAUAUAAAACCAAUUUGGGAGCUCACCGGUGCGGAGUAAGCAGUUGCAAUAAAAAGCCACAAGAUGACGCCCAAAACAAGUGGUGGAGAUCGUAGCAUAAUUGCGGAAGCCAGACUCUGAAAAUGCAGAUCAGUGAAUCAAAUAAAUAAAGCCUAUACAUCCUUAAUUAGAAGAUAAGUACAGAGAUCAAUAACGAUAAUGAAAGAGAACUUUUUCCUAGCUUGCAACAUUUUCACAUGCUAAGUUUGAGCCAAUUGAAAAAUGACAUCUCAACGGAUUAUUAAUCGAGUGAUUUCUAAUAGUUUCAUUUGGC